GUUUUGCGUUAAGGAUUACAGUGACAUCCUUUUGGUUAUGGUGCUGGGGUGGGUUCUCGAAGCAUAAAACCAAAAGAUAUAACGAAAAGCCUGACCUGAA
rnacentral:sRNA from 1 species